GACGAACGCUGGCGGCGUGCUUAACACAUGCAAGUCGAACGAAGUGGCGAACGGGUGAGUAACGCGUAAUCAACCUGCCCUUCAGAGGGGGACAACAGUUGGAAACGACUGCUAAUACCGCAUACUGAAGGUGGGGAUUGCGUCUGAUUAGCUAGUUGGAGGGGUAACGGCCCACCAAGGCGAUGAUCAGUAGCCGGUCUGGGAGGAUGGAGGGCCACAUUGGGACUGAGACAGGGCACAGGAGCCUUCGGGAGGCAGCCAGGGGGAAACUUCCGCAAUGGACGAAAGUCUGACGGAGAAACGCCGCGGGGGUGAUGACGGCCUUCGGGUUGUAAAGGUCUGUUAAUCGGGGCGCGGUACCGGAAGAGAAAGCCACGGCUAACUACGUGCCAGCAGCCGCGGUAAUAC
rnacentral:rRNA from 1 species